AGUAAAAUAAGCUAAAAAAGCUUUUGGGCCCAUACCCCAAAUAUGUCGGUUAAUCCCCUCUUUUACUA
rnacentral:tRNA from 1 species